rnacentral:rRNA from 1 species
AUUGAACGCUGGCGGCAGGCCUAACACAUGCAAGUCGAGCGGAUGAAGGGAGCUUGCUCCUGGAUUCAGCGGCGGGCGGGUGAGUAAUGCCUAGGAAUCUGCCUGGUAGUGGGGGAUAACGUCCGGAAACGGGCGCUAAUACCGCAUACGUCCUGAGGGAGAAAGUGGGGGAUCUUCGGACCUCGCGCUAUCAGAUGAGCCUAGGUCGGAUUAGCUAGUUGGUGGGGUAAAGGCCUACCAAGGCGACGAUCCGUAACUGGUCUGAGAGGAUGAUCAGUCACACUGGAACUGAGACACGGUCCAGACUCCUACGGGAGGCAGCAGUGGGGAAUAUUGGACAAUGGGCGAAAGCCUGAUCCAGCCAUGCCGCGUGUGUGAAGAAGGUCUUCGGAUUGUAAAGCACUUUAAGUUGGGAGGAAGGGCAGUAAGUUAAUACCUUGCUGUUUUGACGUUACCAACAGAAUAAGCACCGGCUAACUUCGUG